rnacentral:rRNA from 1 species
UACGUAGGGGCCGAGCGUUGUCCGGAGUUAUUGGGCGUAAAGCGCGCGCAGGCGGCCUCGCGCGCCCGACGUGAAAGCCCCCCGGCUUAACCGGGGAGGGUCGUUGGGGACGGCGGGGCUUGAGGGCGGGAGAGGUCGGUGGAAUUCCCGGUGUAGUGGUGAAAUGCGUAGAGAUCGGGAGGAACACCUGUGGCGAAGGCGGCCGACUGGGCCGACCCUGACGCUGAGGCGCGAAAGCGUGGGGAGCAAACAGG